GUUGCAGCUUAGUGGUAGAGUGCUUCCCUAGCAUGUGUGAGGCCCUGGGUUCGAUCCUCAGGACCACA
rnacentral:tRNA from 1 species